rnacentral:lncRNA from 1 species
CACACAAGUUCAAAUCUUAAACUACGCCUUGCUCAGACAGUUACUUUUCCACUACACACAUACAUUGUUUAUCCUAUUCUGCAACAUGUUUCAUCAUUUUCUGCAAGCCUAACUGUAACGGCUGUCUUCGUGAAGAGAGGACCAAGGCGCAGCGGGUUGCGUGCUCAUCAUUAUAUUUAUUUUAAAUAAAGACUGUGAACACGGGAAAGACAAGCAACGACAGGAACCAGUUUAGCAGGCUAUACACGUAACAGCAGUGCUACAGACAACUACCCACAAAUAACAAACAAAACACAUCCCUAAUUAUAGGACUCUCAAUCAAAGGCAACUACAAACACCUGCCUCCAAUUGAAAGUCCAACACCCAAUUACCUAACAUAGAAAAUACUAAACUAGAAAGAACAUAGAAAUACAAAAACAUAGAACAUAACCCAAAACCCGGAAAUAAUAAAUCAAACACCCUACUAAACAAACCACCACCCCGAACCACAUAAAACAAAUACCCCCUGCCACGUCCUGACCAAACCACAAUCACAAAUAACCCCUAUUACUGGUCAGGACGUGACACUAACAAUGUUAUUGGUUUCACAGUAGCACAGCUUGUCUAUCGAUUGCUCCUCCUAUCCUUUGUUUCACACUUACGCCCUGCUUCCAUAGCUAAACAGGAACAAAAAAAUGUCCUGGUUCUAAUUCUGACUAAAACUACACGCAUCAGAUUAUAGUUUUAUGAUUCUAAUACAUUUCACACAGUUAUACAGUUUCAGGGUGAAAUAUCUUAGUCAUUACUUUAAACAUACAAAUUCUUCUAUCAUCUUGGCGCACACGUUUUAUACAUUUGUCCUCCUCACGUCAUCCUCAUAGUAACUCCUCUUAAUGGCUCAUCACCUGUGGCAUUUAGCCACCGUUAUCUCAUUGCCUUCGUAUUAGAACAUGGAACCUGUAGAGCCACAGAAAUACUUUCAUGCAUGUAGGACCAUAGCAACAGACCUUUUUAUUUUAUUUUGAUUUUAUUAUUGUGACUAUUUUUUUUUUACUUGUUCACAUGAUUAAGCAUGUAUUUAAUAUAGCAAUAAUGACAUUAACUUAUUUAGUGAGCUGUCUUUUAGCCAAGAUAUGAAAUGUAAUCAUAAAUGACUGUAGCGCAUAAGACACACACAACAAAUCAAAGUUUAUUUGUCACGUGUGCUGAAUACAACAGGUGUAGUAGACCUUACAGUGAAAUGCUGAAUACAACAGGUGUAGUAGACCUUACAGUGAAAUGCUGAAUACAACAGGUGUAGUAGACCUUACAGUGAAAUGCUGAAUACAACAGGUGUAGUAGACCUUACAGUGAAAUGCUGAAUACAACAGGUGUAGUAGACCUUACAGUGAAAUGCUGAAUACAACAGGUGUAGUAGACCUUACAGUGAAAUGCUUACUUACAGGCUCUAACCAAUAGUGCAAAAAAGGUGUUAGGUGAACAAUAGGUAGGUAAAGAAAUAAAACAACAGUAAAAAGACAGGCUAUAAAAGUAGCGAGGCUACGUACAGACACGGUGAGCCAGGCUGAUUGAGGUAGUAUGUAGAUAUGGUUAAAGUGACUAUGCAUAUAUGAUAAACAGAGAGUAGCAGCAGCGUAAAAGAGGGGUUGGCAGGUGGUGGGUGGGACACAAUGCAGAUAGCCCGGUUAGCCAAUGUGUUGGUCGGCCCAAUUGAGGUAGUAUGUACAUAUGAACAUGAAUGUAUAGCUAAAGUGACUAUGCACAUACGAUAAACAGAGAGUAGCAGCAGUGUAAAAAGAGGGGUUGGGGGGGGGGGCACAAUGCAAAUAGUCUGGGUAACCAUUUGGUUAGCUGUUCAGGAGUCUUAUGGCUUGGGGGUAAAAACGGUUGAGAAGCCUUUUUGUCCUAGACUUGGCACUGAGGUACCGCUUGCCAUGCGGUAGUAGAGAGAACAGUCUAUGACUGGGGUGGCUGGGGUCUAUGACUGGGGUGGCUGGGGUCUAUGACUGGGGUCUAUGGCUGGGGUGGCUGGGGUCUUUGACUGGGGUGGCUGGGGUCUAUGACUG